rnacentral:rRNA from 1 species
AACACGUGGAUAAUCUGCCCUAGGGUGGAGGAUAACCUCGGGAAACUGAGAAUAAUACUCCAUAGGUUUAGGAGGCUGGAAUGCACUUAAACUGAAAAUUCCGGUGCCCUAGGAUGAGUCUGCGGACUAUCAGGUUGUAGUCAGGGUAAAGACCUGACUAGCCUACGACAGAUAUGGGUUGUGAGAGCAAUAACCCAGAGAUGAUAUCUGAGACACGAUAUCAGGCCCUACGGGGCGCAGCAGGCGCGAAAACUUCACAAUGUGCGAAAGCACGAUGAGGGAAUCCCAAGUGCUUGCACGUAAGUGUAAGCUGUUUUUCUGUAUAAAAAGCAGAGAGAGUAAGGGCUGGGUAAGACGGGUGCCAGCCGCCGCGGUAAUACCUGCAGCUCAAGUGGUGACCGUUAUUAUUGGGCCUAAAACGUUCGUAGCCGGUUUAUUAAAUGCCUGGGUAAAUCGUGUAGC